AUUGAACGCUGGCGGCAGGCCUAACACAUGCAAGUCGAACGAGUGGCGGACGGGUGAGUAAUGUCCGGGAAACUGCCUGAUGGAGGGGGAUGACUACUGGAAACGGUAGCUAAUACCGCAUACCAUCGGAUGUGCCCAGAUGGGAUUAGCUAGUAGGUGGGGUAACGGCUCACCUAGGCGAUGAACCCUAGCUGGUCUGAGAGGAUGCCCAGCCACCCUGGAACUGAGACACGGUCCAGACUCCGACGGUAGGCAGCAGUGGGGAAUAUUGCACAAUGGGCGGAAGCCUGAUGCCGCCAUGCCGCGUGUAUGAAGAAGGCCUUCGGGUUGUAAAGUACUUUCAGCGGGUAGGCGUUACCCGCAGAAGAAGCCCCGGCUAACUCCGUGCCAGCCGCCGCGGUAAUAC
rnacentral:rRNA from 1 species